rnacentral:misc_RNA from 1 species
GAUGAAGAACGCAGCGAAAUGCGAUAAGUAAUGUGAAUUGCAGAAUUCAGUGAAUCAUCGAAUCUUUGAACGCACAUUGCGCCCGCCAGUAUUCUGGCGGGCAUGCCUGUUCGAGCGUCAUUUCAACCCUCAGGCCCCGCCUGGCGUUGGGGAUCGGCGCGGCCCUCUCCGGGCUGCCGGCCCCGAAAACUAGUGGCGGUCUCGCUGUAGUCCUCCUCUGCGCAGUAGCAACGCUCGCACUGGAACUCGGCGCGGCCACGCCGUAAAACACCCCACUUCUGAAAGUUGACCUCGGAUCAGGUAGGGAUACCCGCUGAACUUAAGCAUAUCAAUAAGCGGAGGA